UCCCGUGCGGGGGCGGGGCCGCAAGCGAGGAGCCCUCCCCCGCCCUUGCCGCCCCGCGGGCGCUUCCUGGGCUGGGCGCGCGCCAGAGCUGCAACCUUGUGCGGGGGGCGGUGGGGGCGGGACCUCCGCUGCCUCGCGGGGCGUGGCGCGGGGAAGCCGGUGCUCCACCUGCCAGGGGUCCGCGAAGGCACUCCUAGCCGGCCCCACGCGCACCCUGGAGAGCGCAGGGGGUCGAGCUGCGGGGGCGCCCCGCCGCGGGGUCCCGAGCCCCAGCCUGCAGCCGGGAGCGCGUGCACACCUGCAGACACACCGUGCAGUGCAUACGUGCGUGCAGCGUUGAGCCCGUGCACACCGUGCCGUGCACAGCUGCUUACACACCACUGCAUGCACACAGUGCCAUGCACACAUGCGUGCACACCUGCUGUGCACACCUGCCGCGCGCCCUCCCGAGACCCCUGCCCAGCGGAGCGAUAUAGGAACGGUGCCCCCAGAGCAGCUCAGCCUUCCUGCUCACGUGCAGCGCGCGGGAGGCCCAAGACCAGUUCGAGGACAUUAAGUCCGACCUUAAGAGAGGGUGGGACCGAAAGCCCAAUCCAUCAGUGGUUUCAAAUUGGCUUCCAUUAAAUGGGUCUAAACUCCCAUCCUGCCCAUCGUAAAGGUUCUCCCACAUGCUCCCUUCUGUGCUGACUCUGGAGGACUCAC
rnacentral:lncRNA from 1 species